rnacentral:lncRNA from 1 species
GCCUGUCCUGUAAGCUGGGCUGAUUUUAUUUCUGUGGCGGUGUCCCCGCUCCCCCCGCACGAGUCCUGGCUCCCAGCAUGCUGGCACCCUCACUUUUCGUAGCUGAGUUUGUCAUGAGCUCAUUUGCCUUCAUCAGCUGGACGUGUCCGUCCUGGUUACACUGCUGCACUUAUGUGCUGCAGCCCUGCAUGUGGUGUGAGCAAAGGCGGUUCCGUCUCCCUGCAUCCGCCUGUCUGCUCACCCCUGCCAGCCCCUGCCGUCCCUGUGUACCUGCCCUCGGCUGUUCACCCACCUGUCAUCCAUCACCUCCAGCUUCUUCCUGUCCCUCUUCUGGAGCAGAGGGGAUUGAAGGACCAUUGUCAUUCUGUCUGCAAAGUAACCUGUCCCCCAGGAGUGCCAUUUCUCCGCCGGUGUCACCCCCACAGUGGCUUCCUCCGAGGAGUUGCCUUGUCGCCCAGCGCCCUCCAGCCUUGCUCUGGGCGAGGGUGGGGGGACGUCCACGGAGGGCCACCCAGCCUCCUCUGGGCCCCACCCCCCAGGGUGUGCUGUCCCCUUUCCUUUCUGGUCUGAGACCCACAAGGAGCAGGUGCAGUCCUGCCACCUGCCCUUGGAAUCCCGUCGGCCCUGUGAGUCCUCCAGGCCUUCCUGGCAGGUUAGGGUGCGGUCCCACCUGCCCAGGUGCCCCCUGUCUGUGCUUUCCUCAAGUGCAGACUCUGAAGAUGUCUCCUGGGGACUGUCCCCUCUGUCCCGGCUGGGUGACCAGGGCUCUGAGUCUGGGGUGGGGAAUGGGUUGCACGGAUAGUCUCCUGGCCCGGCCAGCCAUCCUUGAGACCCCAGGCUGGACACAGGCCCAGGGGUCCUCGGAGCCAGCCUUGCCGUCAGGAGGCUGUGUACAUCCAGCUUCUCCCCCGAGCCCGGCUGGCCUGCAGGGGAGACCCCUGGUGGGGGGCUUCCUUCCUGAGGGGUCCUGGGUCUCUGGGCCCCCGCCAGCUGUCCAGGCCCUUCCCUCAGGGCCCACCCGGGGAGGAUCUAGGGUCCUGUGCUCAUCCUUGUCCCUCUCCUGGGGUCUUCACCCUCCUUGCUCCCAACUGCUGGGAAAAUGGGACCCCAGGGAGGAACGGGUCCCUGUCCUUAAGCGAGGACAGCUGAGCUGCCCCAGGGCCCUGCUGCUGGCACUGCUGGCCUGGGCGCCCACGGUGAGCUGGUGGCCCGCACAUGCAUUGCAAACAGGUCCCCAAGCCCUUCAGCCCUGCCCACCUUAUAGAAGCCGCCAGAUUCCUGGGGCAGAGGCGAAGAGGCAAAGGAGAAGCGGGCGUGGCCCCGGGGUCAGUCCUAGAGCCCAGGCUGGGGCGUAGGUGCUGGGUGAGGAUGCUGGUGCUGUGCCUUCUGCUGGAGGUGGAGACGGAGGAGACGGCUCCCUGGCCGAGCUGGGACCUGGCGCUCUUCAGGAGAGCACCCCCCUGGUCCUGCCUGUACACGGGUGUGGGAGGGACCGGAGGUGCUGGGCAGCACCAAGGACUCUCGGGUGUGUGCCUGCUCCUUCCGGUCACCUAGGAGCGCGGGGUCCCAGGGGAGGGGGUUGGGAUCCAGCCUCACCGCUGCCCUCCUUUCCUGGGGGGCUGUUCACCCUCAUUUAGGAUUUGCCCGUCGUGUCGCAGCAGCUGCCCCAGCCGCCCACUUGCCAAGCCACACAGAGGAUGGAGACGGGCACAGAGGCUGGUUCUGGUGGCCCCAGCGCCGCGCCUGCCCCCCCGCCCCCGCCCCGUUGCCCUGUUCUCCACGUCUCCCCUGGUGUCGCUUCCAGUUGUGACAUUUGGUGUUGGCGGUGGCCGCGCUCCCUGGCUGGACCCCGGACCUGCGGGUGUUCCGUGCCCCUCACUGCCCCUCUCUGCAGGCCCCUUCUCUCUCGUCCUCCCCUUCCUUCCUCCCUAAAUGUUUAUGCGGUCCUGCAGGAGGCGCCCGUGCUGCGCAGGAAUCACUGCAGACUCAGCCGUGGAAGCAGCAGCUCCGCGGGUGAGGGGUCAGGGCGUGGGGCACGUCUGGCGUCACGGGGCCCCUGUCCUAGCUCACUUUUUGUUGGCAGAAUUCAGUUCUUUGCAUCUAAGUUGGAGGUCCCUGUUUCCAUGGUGGCUGUCAGCCAGGGUGGCUCUGAGCCGCACAGCUCUGGCCUCGUGCCCAAGGCCAGCGGGAGAAAUCCUCACACUUUUUUGGGGGGGCUGUCCCGUGGCAUAUGGAGCUCCUGGGCCAGGGAUCAGAUCCGAGCCACAGUCACUGCGGCAAUGCCUUACCCUUAACCCACUGUGCUGGGCCAGGGAUCAAACCUGCGUCCCGUGCUCCCAAGACACUGCCUGUCCCAUGACAACACAGCAGAAGCUCCAGAAAUUCUCAUGCUUCUAAUCCGUCUGACUUAGUCCCCGGCUCCAGCUUUGCCUGCUUAGGUCAGGCCCGCCCGUGCUGGGCAAGGGGAUGGGGGCACACCCGGGAGGGGGGGUCUGCUGAGUAUCCACCCCCCAUCGUCCUAUGUCCCAUCUCUCUUCCUCUCCUGAGUCCUGACCCAGGAACAAGUGACCCGGGGGCCCUUUCCCUCCCCUGACCCUGGAAAAUUCCUCGCCCUGGGAGGUUGGCCAGAGAGUGAAAGGAGCAGAAAAUUCUGGGGUGUUGGGGGCAAGCUUUGGGUUGACUGAACCAGAAAGUGGCCCCAGACUCCCUGGGCACUCGGACUGGUUCGCCUUGCUUGGCAGUGGGGCUGUUUUCCCAGCCCAGGUCUGGGGUGACGAGGAAAGCAGGGAGAGGUGACGCCCCACCUUGACCUACAGCCCAGCCCCCACCCCAGCAUUUCCCUGUUCAUCUCCACCCUGCACUCCCCGACCCAGGGUCUCCCUGCCUGCGGCCCCUAGAAUGCCCGGGGCUGGUGAGGAACCGGUGGGAGCUGGUGACGCUGGAGGACCAGGUCUGCGGCCACCUGACCGUGGUGGCCGGCAGUGCGUCCACUGGGUGUGAGCCUGCCUCCCCCUGAGGGCCAGCGGCUGGCCCUGUCCUCCCAUCAGGGUGGAGUCCCUGGGCAGGCUCCUCUCCCAUGACCGACCAGGGCCACCUGCUGCAGGAGUGGGCUGCUCCUUCCAGGCCCGGGGACGGGCCACUGCCCAGCGGGCGGAACAAUCCUGAUCCAGUUCUGAGCCUGAGUGCUCAGCCUGGCAGGGGCCGUACUGCUCUCUGAGCCCCCAGUCCCUCAGUCCCCUCCUGUCUGAUGACCCAGGCCCUGGCGUGUUGGGGGCCCCUCAGGCACCCCAGCACCCCACUUGCUUCGUGGCACUUGAGUGAUCUGGGUUUUGCCCUGGGAUGUGUCCCUCACCCUUGGUCGGGGUUCGUCUUGCCAGCCCUCCCACGGGGAGAACAGAAUGUCCCACUCUGGCCUGAACGCGGUGGGUCACCUGCACGCAGAGAAGCCCUCGCUGUCCUCGCGGAGGCCUGAGGCCGCCUGUCCUGCAGCUCCCUGGGCACCAGCCGCCGCUCAGAACAGGUGCCCCCCACCCCCGCCUCCAGGCCAGGCCCCUCUUCUGGAGCCGAGUCCCCUUACUGGGUCGAGUCAUCUCUUUCCAAAGCUUUCCCCUUUCUUGUCCCCUCUGACCCCGAUCCUGUGCUCAGCAAUAAUCAGCCAGAGCCAGGACUGGCUGCGGCUGUGGAUGACAUCGGCCACAGCGGAACGGCUGCUGUCGCUGCCGUCCUGGGAACACAGACUUGGGCUCUUUCUCCAGGGCCGGGUGAGCUCACAGGCCCCUGAGCCACGGACCACCUGGCCGGAGCUUCUAAACCUGAGCCAUCCUGAGUCCGGAAGCCACAGAAAUGUCCCAAGACAAUGCUUAGCCCCGGCUUCCUCGCUCUUCCCCCUAAACACACCCCACCCCCCAGAGGCCAGGCGGGAGCGGAUCUGAGGCUUGCACCCCCGCCCCUCGGCGCCGGCAAUGAAGCCCGACUGACUCUGCUGCACACUCUGCGGUCAGAGCCGGCUUUCUGCGCCCCGGCACCUGCUCGGUUACACCUCCCCGGCAUCCUGGUUUCCAGGGUAACGGGCCUUCGAGACCAGCUCUCGCUUUCUCACGGCUUGUUCCCUUGGUGCCGGGCAGAUUCCCGCGAAGCCCCUCCGAGCUGCACCUCGGCUCCCUGCCCUGCUCGCUGCGAGGAGUGGCCUCGGCCGCUCUCAGCAGAGGGUUGGUAUCAGCAGAGGGUUUUGGCCUCGCCGUCUGUGGCUGUUCUUUCAGCAGCUAAGCAAAGUCUGCCUUGAUAGCAACGGAAGAUGCUCCUCAGCUUCAAAAGUGGGGGCACUGGAUUCAGAGGCGUCACCUCAAAGAACCCAGACUUGCGCUGGCUUAAGCAGGAGGGGAGGUCGCCAUCGGUCAAGUCCCUUUUCCUCCUCACCCCUGUGUGGCCGGUGUCCCCGACUGGCCGCUCCUGUGUCCUCGAUCGCCCCCUGGGCAGGGGCGCGUGUUCACAGCCCAAGUCCUGAGGCUCCUCUGCCCUGGCCCAGAGGAGGGUGUCACUCUCAGGCUGCAGGCUGGGGUCCGAGGCCAGGCGUGGAGGGGCCGGUUCGGCCACAGGCUGCUCUCCUGGGCGUGCACACGGCCGUCUCCUCCCGUGUCCCCAGAGUCGUCCUCCGCGUGCCUGGGUCCUGGCCUCCCUCUGGUAAGGACGCAUCUUGGAUGGAGGCCAGCCCAGUGGCCCUCCCUCCUCAGUCCCCUCGUCCCAAAGACGGUCGCAGCAGGGUGUGCUCGGGGUCAGGACCUUCAGAUACGGAUCUCGAGGGGACGCAACUCAGCCCACGACUGCUGCCGCCGUCUAAGGAGCAGGCCCAGGUCUGCGGUGAAAGUGUUAUCUGAGGAGCUUUAAAUGAGGGAGCGGGUUCCUGCUGCCUCUGCAGGGUUGUGACAAUCACUGAUAAUCUUCAGUCUCGACAUUCUUCUGGGGACUGUUUUUCCCAUCACAGCAGCGGUCAGACGGGCACUUGCAGAUUCUAACAGAAAAAGGAAGCCAGAGUAUUUCGUGCAACUCAUGUGUCCCGAGACCAUGAGGUGCCUGCGUAAUUUGUGCAGUGAUUAAAUCUCUGCGAAGCUCAGGGUUUUCUUUCC